UGCUUCGAAGCAUUUGUAGUGUCACGUUGACCGUAGCCAUAAUAUCAUAUUAAUACAUUAUUUUAUUUUUAGACGUAGCUGUUGAUGAAAGAGAAUUAGAUGGUGACUUAAUUUUGGGAGAUAUAGGUCAAGGAUUGCCAUUUAAAGCUGCGGCGACAGGUCCGGCGACGACGGGACGGGCGGCGACGGGACCGGCAGCGAUAUCGGUGGCUGAUCCCGAUAAUUCUAACCCGAAAUCAGCGAAAUCGUUGUCAUCAUCUA